rnacentral:rRNA from 1 species
UACGUAGGGGGCUAGCGUUGUCCGGAAUCAUUGGGCGUAAAGAGCGUGUAGGCGGCCCGGUAAGUCCGCUGUAAAAGUCAAAGGCUCAACCUUUGAAUGUCAGUGGAUACUGCCGGGCUAGAGUCCGGAAGAGGCGAGUGGAACUCCUGGUGUAGCGGUGGAAUGCGCAGAUAUCAGGAAGAACACCAACGGCGAAGGCAGCUCGCUGGGACGUGACUGGACGCUGAGACGCGAAAGCGUGGGGAGCAAACAGG